GCGGGCGUGGCGGAAUUGGCAGACGCGCUGGAUUUAGGUUCCAGUGGGUAAAACCCGUGGAGGUUCGAGUCCUCUCGCCCGCACCA
rnacentral:tRNA from 1 species